rnacentral:rRNA from 1 species
GACGAACGCUGGCGGCGUGCUUAACACAUGCAAGUCGAACGGACCCUUUGGGGUUAGUGGCGAACGGGUGAGUAACACGCGGGUGAUCUGCCCUGCACUUUGGGAUAAGCCUGGGAAACUGGGUCUAAUACCGGAUAGGACUACGCACUGCAUGGUGUGUGGUGGAAAGCUUUUGCGGUGUGGGAUGGGCCCGCGGCCUAUCAGCUUGUUGGUGGGGUGAUGGCCUACCAAGGCGACGACGGGUAGCCGGCCUGAGAGGGUGACCGGCCACACUGGGACUGAGAUACGGCCCAGACUCCUACGGGAGGCAGCAGUGGGGAAUAUUGCACAAUGGGCGCAAGCCUGAUGCAGCGACGCCGCGUGAGGGAUGACGGCCUUCGGGUUGUAAACCUCUUUCGCCAGGGACGAAGCGCAAGUGACGGUACCUGGAGAAGAAGGACCGGCCAACUACGUGCCAGCAGCCGCGGUAAUACGUAGGGUCCGAGCGUUGUCCGGAAUUACUGGGCGUAAAGAGCUCGUAGGUGGUUUGUCGCGUUGUUCGUGAAAACUCACAGCUUAACUGUGGGCGUGCGGGCGAUACGGGCAGACUGGAGUACUGCAGGGGAGACUGGAAUUCCUGGUGUAGCGGUGGAAUGCGCAGAUAUCAGGAGGAACACCGGUGGCGAAGGCGGGUCUCUGGGCAGUAACUGACGCUGAGGAGCGAAAGCGUGGGGAGCGAACAGGAUUAGAUACCCUGGUAGUCCACGCCGUAAACGGUGGGUACUAGGUGUGGGUCUCCUUCCUUGGGAUCCGUGCCGUAGCUAACGCAUUAAGUACCCCGCCUGGGGAGUACGGCCGCAAGGCUAAAACUCAAAGGAAUUGACGGGGGCCCGCACAAGCGGCGGAGCAUGUGGAUUAAUUCGAUGCAACGCGAAGAACCUUACCUGGGUUUGACAUGCACAGGACGCCGGCAGAGAUGUCGGUUCCCUUGUGGCCUGUGUGCAGGUGGUGCAUGGCUGUCGUCAGCUCGUGUCGUGAGAUGUUGGGUUAAGUCCCGCAACGAGCGCAACCCUUGUCUCAUGUUGCCAGCACGUUAUGGUGGGGACUCGUGAGAGACUGCCGGGGUCAACUCGGAGGAAGGUGGGGAUGACGUCAAGUCAUCAUGCCCCUUAUGUCCAGGGCUUCACACAUGCUACAAUGGCCGGUACAAAGGGCUGCGAUGCCGUGAGGUGGAGCGAAUCCUUUCAAAGCCGGUCUCAGUUCGGAUCGGGGUCUGCAACUCGACCCCGUGAAGUCGGAGUCGCUAGUAAUCGCAGAUCAGCAACGCUGCGGUGAAUACGUUCCCGGGCCU